rnacentral:rRNA from 1 species
AACGAACGCUGGCGGCAUGCCUAACACAUGCAAGUCGAACGAGACCUUCGGGUCUAGUGGCGCACGGGUGCGUAACGCGUGGGAACCUGCCCUUAGGUUCGGAAUAACUCCCCGAAAGGGGUGCUAAUACCGGAUAAUGUCUUCGGACCAAAGAUUUAUCGCCUUUGGAUGGGCCCGCGUUGGAUUAGCUAGUUGGUAGGGUAAAAGCCUACCAAGGCGACGAUCCAUAGCUGGUCUGAGAGGAUGAUCAGCCACACUGGGACUGAGACACGGCCCAGACUCCUACGGGAGGCAGCAGUGGGGAAUAUUGGACAAUGGGCGAAAGCCUGAUCCAGCAAUGCCGCGUGAGUGAUGAAGGCCUUAGGGUUGUAAAGCUCUUUUACCCGGGAGGAUAAUGACAGUACCGGGAGAAUAAGCUCCGGCUAACUCCGUG